rnacentral:rRNA from 1 species
AAAGCCUUGACCAUUGUCAAGGCACUCAGGUUCCCCGUGUCGCGCUUGCGCGCAUUGCACAGUU